rnacentral:tRNA from 1 species
UCCCAGGUGGCUCAGUGGUAAAGAAUCUACCUUCCAAUGCAGAAGACAUGGGUUCAAUCCCUGAUCUGGGAA